UGAGUUACCCGCGGCCAUAAUACCCUCAUUCAUAUGCAGCAAAGAGAGAGCGAGAGAGAGGAAAUGGCGACGACGAAAGCCUUUUGAGAGAGCAAAUGGCGGCGAUAAAGGUCAUUAUAGCUAGGCAUAUCUUCGAUAGCCGUGGAAAUCGAAACAUUGAGGUUCUAAAAUUUGAGUAUGCUGUCCGUGGAGAGAUUGUUAUCCAUGCCCAGUUAUGGUGUUAUACCUGUACCAGAAGUGACGGAUUGACAGCCUCUAACUAGCAAUGAUAGAUACCUGGUGGCUGCAAUUGAUGGGGUCUCCGAGAAAAUGACUGUGCAGGAUAUCUGUGAUCUAAUAUGGGACGUACGCAUUCAAGACAGUGAAAAAUGAGAAUCUGUUUCUACCAACACAAAAUUGUUGGCUGUGUGGAAGGCUAUGUGGCAGUUCAUGUGCAUUUGUAGUUUGUUUUGAAAACUUUAAAUAGACCAUUAAUUGUUUUGUUGGUAUUGUGCUGAUUGUUUUCUCUUGAUGAAUGUUAAAUGGGUGAAACAUGCACAGGUUCAAUCAUUGGUUGAUUAUGAUAUUGUUAGCUUCGGUUGAUAGAAACUAAGGCUAAAGAUGGAUUUA